CGUUUCACCGUGUCACCCGCUCCCGCGUCCCGCUUCUCCAUCACGCACGUGUCCGACCCGGAUGCCGAGUCUGCGGGAGGCCCUGCAGCGAGUGCCGCGGGCGGGAGUAAAGAGGCUUGAGGCAGCUUCACCCCUCGGAGGCUGGCAUCACUGGAGACCUGCCGAGCAGCAGUGAGGACGGUGACCGGGAAUGAGUGGGGACCGCCUGCAGUCCUCGUGGCUGUCGGCAGUAGAUUCCAGUGUCCCCGUGCUCCACGCAGUGUCCUGGAGAAGCAGGCAGGAGAGGCCCCUGGAGGGUAGAUUGGCCAUGAACGCUGGCCCCAUGCUGCAGAAUUUAUCUUGGACACUUGAGUUUGCUGCUAGAUGCCUGGAGCCCCUGUGGGCCCGUGGGCAUCCAUACACACAUACACACACAGAAGAGGAGCCUCACCUCUGGGCCUGGGUGGCCCCCAACCCUGCAGCUGCCCUUUUGCCAUGAGUGCUGCUGUUGGACUGCUUGGUCUCUGAGGCUGGGGACCUGCUCUCAGCCCUGGGGUCCGCAUACCCAUCUGCUGGCUCCUUCGGUGCGCUCACAGGAUACUGUGCCCAGAGUCUGGGCAAGGCCCGGGCCUCCUGAGACAGCAACAGGCUUGUGAGCCUCCCUCCCCCCCCGCCCCAACCCCCUUUCUGGGUUCGCUCAGGGCAAGGAGUGGUCCCUGAGCUCACAUCCCUGCCCUUACCACAGUCUGGCGGCUUCCCCUUCACUGACUCAGCCCAACCCAUAAGCCCCCCUCCCCACAGAUAAUGGCUGCUCUCCCCUGGGUCUUGCUGUGGGUGGGUGGGCCAUGGUGGGCAGCCAGAAAGAUGAGGGGCUUGCGGGCCACACUCCUGCCGCCUUGGGCCCUGUUCUAGAGGUGCCCUCGGCAGGGCGGUGCAGGCAGCUCUCCUGCAGGGCACUGCCUGGCCCAGGGCCCCAGCUGCCAAAGGAAAGUGAGGCUGCACCCUGCAGUUUUGGGGGCUCCUGCCUGCAGAGGGAAUGACAGGGAAGGGGUGGAACUGGGGGCAGGGAAGCACAGGGAAUAUUUUUGUAACUGCUGUUGCUGGAGCGAAUGGAAGUGGGAUGAUUUUAAGUUAUUGUUGCCAAAGAGAUGUAAAGUUUAUUGUUGCUUUGGGUGGGGGGACUUGUUUUGGGUUUGUGUGGUUUUUUUUUAAAUUAGUUUGAGGCUUAGGAUGCUGGUGCAAUGAUUUUCUUGUUCCUUUUUUGUUUGUUUUUUUAAGAGAAAUCAAGCUAAGAAAGCC